GUAGGAGGACUGGGCCCUGCAGAGCUAUUGGGAGACCCUGCUCGUGCCCAUGGCGCUAAACACAAAGAACGCCCUGGCGUGAAAGUCACAGGCUGCUCGGAAAUGUUUGAACACCCUGAACGUGAGUGUGGCCUGUGCUACAGGAAAUAUAUGGUGUUUCUUAAAGACAAAAGCUGGCAGCAGUUUGAAAAUGGUGCGCUUUCUCUUAGGAUCCUUACAUGGCAAACACCGACUCCCACGUGAAGCGAAUUAGUCCAACAACCCUCUCCCUGGUUCCGGCAGCAGCAAACACUCUGACAGAUCGCCCUUUGUUUUAUGCUUUGAUUACCUGGGGAGCAGAGUAAAAGCGUGGACCUGCUGUGUCUUUAAUCUGCAUUUGUUACUACUCCCUUUCUUCCAUUUACGAGUUUGUUCCCAAAAGGUGUUUUUUUAAAAAAAUCUGACUGGAGUAACCUUUCCUCUGGGCUUGAAACAAGCCCAUGACCCGAUCUGAUGACACAUUAGUGGGCGGCAGGAGAAAGCUGGGCACGUGAUAUCAUCGCUUUCUAUUCAUACAAACGGCUUUUUUUUUUUCGAUAAAAAUACUCUGACUGCAAGACUAUGAGUGUGCAGAUAAUUCUGCUGCUUACCCCGAGUGGAGGUGUCUCCAGGGAGUUUCCAAACACAGGAAGCUUGCCUGCUCUGAGGUUUCAGAACACUUUCAGCGGGAUUUCGAGUCACUGAAAUAAAUAAGUGAACUAUGCUCUUUACAAACGUAUCAUGUUUAAUUCAAGAGAAAUUCAUUCAUUUCUUUGUUCUAUAAAUAUUUACUAGAAGCUCAUUUUGUAUAGGAGGCCGCCGCCUUCCAAAAGCCCCCUGCUCCUCCAGUGGCUUGAGCCUGAGACCCCACAUCCACAGAUGUGCCCAGCGGCCUUGCCUGCUCAACCCAGACUCAUUCAGGUACAACAAGAUAGCGGGCCAUGCCUGGUCCUGGAGUUCAAGCGUUUGUCUUAUUUUAAAAAUCAGACUCUGCUUAUUUAAUAUAAAUGUUGACACUCAGCCUACAGCUCCCUGAAAUAUGUGAGUGGUGUUUCGCAGAUGAGCAACAGCAUGUAUUGCCUGCACGGACAAAAUGGAGAAAUAUAGACAUUGCUUUUAGUCUUUAGCGUGUCUCUGUAAUCAACGUCCCCAGCUCAUUAAUGAAAAGGUCCCUUCUCCUCCCCCAUCGCUGCCCUCAUUCCUAUCAUGUAAACAGCUACCAACGGCUCCUAUUUCUUUGUUCAAACAAACAAUAGCCUUUAUAAGGAAGAAGAACGUAGGUAUCAGGUGAGAGCCUGACUUCAGGGUGCUCAGGACACUUUCUUUUUUCCAGGACAACAAAGUUCACAAGUCCUCAUAAGAAGGAAAAUGCACAUUGAAAGUUUGUAAAGCAGCAGGACAAAGCUCUGUCUUCAAUGCGGUGUGGACAUACUCAUGAUUGAAUUGGAAAUAGUUCUCUGUCCUUCUCUCUGACUUCCUAACAGAAAAGCUGCAGCGUGGGGAGAAAGGCUGCUCAGAAGCCUGGAGCCAGAACGCGCACCCUGGCUUCCGCAGGGCCAGCUUGCUUUGUUAGAAUGCAAGGCAAAGGCUUGUGAUUUGGGAAGCUGGCCGUCCUCACCAAAUUAGGGGAUCUAAUCUGCAGAUAUCUAAGUGGUGCUUUGAAAUGAAAGAUGAACUAAACUCUGCUCCGAGGCCCUUGAUUUUUCCCCAGUGUAGAAGGAUUCUCUUGCUGCUGGACAGAUGUGAACGGCAGCGGCUGAUCUGAAAUGCAAGUCCCUGCGAGACAGAGAGACUUGAUAAACAUUUUAUACUGUGCUAUGGAAUCAAUUUGAUUCAGGGCUAGAAUUCAAGAAAUGAUCCCUGGGCGAGCCUGUCUGAUGGUAAACCUGAACGAUCAUAUGGUUACCUUUUGUACAUUUUGUUUUCCAUUUUUCAUUAUGUGACAUUAUUAUGACAAAAGCCACUGGAACAGGACCCACGAGCUGCUCCUUCGCGACUCAGCGCUGUCAGAGGCUGACAGAGAAGCGUUGGCUCCCAUGUGACACAUGAUUUCCAAUGAUUCAAUUAAUUUUUCCGGUUUCCGGUAGGAUUUCCUUAUUUUGUACUUUAACACACCAAUAAAAAGUGGAUAUUAAGAAAUAGUGAAAUGUGUUGCUUCAAAAUAGCCCUUAAGAUUUAGACUUUAGUGAAAUUAAGCAAUUCAAAUAGAGAAACAAUUAUCCUUCAUUUCUUUAAGGCGCAGAAAUUGAGACUAGGUCUGAGAACCUUCAUUUUUUAAAAAUGGAACGUACUGGCGAAGUGAGGAGCAGGCGGUCACACUUUGACACGCUCCACAUGUGUGGAGUGAAGAGAGGACCACACUGAAGCGAGAUGAGCUGUGAGCAGGUGCAGCAGCGAAGGAAAUCCUUCUGCUGGGAGAGUUCGUGUGUUUCGGAUUAUGCUUUGAAUAGGACCCAGUGGUAAUGUGAGAGAAGCUCUGGAGCCAAUUCGGAUGGAGACGGUCUAUCACAGGCUAGUUGGCUGCCUCCCUACGGGGCCAGUCUUAUUUUAGGUCUACCUAUGCAAAAGUGGAGCUCUGGCUCCCAGAAGUUGCAGGCUGCACAAGGCUGGAGCCACCAUCUUCACAGGUAAUCCAUCAGCUUGAUUUCCUUGGGGACGAGGAAGAAGACCAAGAACACUCAAUGGACUUUGGGACUCAAAGAGCCCACGGGAGGCAUCUGUAAAGGGCAGAACUCCUUGUGCCCAGUCAUUCCUGGAGCUAACACUAGAGGAAGAGGAGUGAUGGCCCAACAGCAGCACGGGCUUGGGAAUCUGGAAAAGAAAAACACCAUGGAAGGAGAGCCAGAAGGAAAG
ensembl:lncRNA